rnacentral:rRNA from 1 species
UACGUAGGAGGCAAGCGUUGUCCGGAUUUAUUGGGCGUAAAGAGCGCGUAGGUGGCUCGGCAAGUUGGGUGUGAAAUCCCCUGGCUUAACUGGGGGGGGUCAUCCGAUACUGCUGGGCUUGAGGUCGGCAGAGGAAGGUAGAAUUCCCGGUGUAGUGGUGAAAUGCGUAGAUAUCGGGAGGAAUACCAGUGGCGAAGGCGGCCUUCUGGGCCGAUCCUGACGCUGAGGCGCGAAAGCGUGGGGAGCGAACCGG